GGCUCAGGAUGAACGCUAGCGGCAGGCUUAACACAUGCAAGUCGAGGGGCAUCGGGAGUAGCAAUACUGCCGGCGACCGGCGCAAGGGUGCGUAACGCGUGAGCAACAUGCCCGUAUCAGGGGGAUAAUCCAUGGAAACGUGGUCUAAUACCCCAUAGUAAUUAUGUAAGGCAUCUUAUAUAAUUUAAAGCUUUGGUGGAUACGGAUUGGCUCGCGUGACAUUAGCUAGAUGGUAAGGUAACGGCUUACCAUGGCUACGAUGUCUAGGGGUUCUGAGAGGAAGGUCCCCCCACACUGGAACUGAGACACGGUCCAGACUCCUACGGGAGGCAGCAGUGAGGAAUAUUGGACAAUGGAUGGAAAUCUGAUCCAGCCAUGCCGCGUGCAAGGAAGACGGCCCUAUGGGUUGUAAACUGCUUUUGUAUGGGAGCAAUAAGGGCUACGCGUAGUCCGAUGAGAGUACCAUACGAAUAAGCACCGGCUAACUCCGUGCCAGCCGCCGC
rnacentral:rRNA from 1 species